UAAAUAACUUCGUAAAUCAAAUAUUAAUUCAUUAAAUCGAUUCUCUUCACUAGAAACAACACUAACACAAAAGAAACAAGAAAACUAAGAAGAAGAGAUAGCACCAAGCUUAUCCUCGGCUCAAUACUAUCGCAGUCUAGCAUUUUCUUCCCCUCUCCCAUCUUCCUUGUACUACCCCGAGAUACCAACUCCUAUACUACAGAUGAUAAUUACUUUUCCUAAUUAUUCAUCCAUUCUACCUGUUGAACCACCUUUUCAGUAGUUAUCUAUCCUUGUUUACACUAUACAUUAGGUAUCUACAUUCUAAAAAUAAGUACUUAUUCUACAUAGCCUCACUCCUAACUGUGCAGCGUCCUCGCAAAUACUCUAUUGAUACCUAUCUAAAAAUUAUCCAAUAAAACUCUACAAAAAUUGCGAUCCCUCUGGCC
rnacentral:lncRNA from 1 species